rnacentral:rRNA from 1 species
UAAUACAGAGGGUGCAAACGUUGUUCGGAAUCACUGGGCAUAAAGCGUACGUAGGCGGCGCCGUAAGUGUCGGAUGAAAUCCCACGGCUUACCCGUGGAACGGUCCGGCAUACUGCGGUGCUAGAGGAUGGUAGAGGAGAGCGGAACUCUUGGUGGAGCGGUGAAAUGCGUAGAUAUCAAGAGGAACACCGGUGGCGAAGGCGGCUCUCUGGUCCAUGUCUGACGCUGAGGUACGAAAGCCAGGGGAGCAAACGGGAUUAGAUACCCCGGUAGUCCUGGCCGUAAACGAUGGGCACUAACUAGAAGUCUCACCUGUGGGAUUUCUGGUGAAGCAAAUGUGAUAAGUGCCCCGCCUGGGAAGUAUGGUCGCAAGGCUA